UUUGGUCAAAAUACUUUGUUUUCAAAGAUUAAAUGAUUUCUACACCAUAUAUUUGGCACCUUUAUUUCUCUUUAAAUGCACUAUAAAUUCAAAUGAUCUUGGAAAAAGAUAUCCUAAAAUACAAAGAUUUGUAUCAUUUGAAAUUUUAUCUCAUUCCAUCAAAUUAACCAAAGUAUUAAAGAUUUAUUGUAAAUUUGCUCAAAUCCGCCUAGGCACUAAGCCCCAUCUCGCCGCCCGAUUAGCGCCUAGCAUCUUUUAGAACCAUGUUUCAAACAGCCAACAACAGUCUCAACUCAAGGGUUAGGGUUCUGUAGUACAAAUUACGUACAAAUUCCGAACUUGCCCCACUCUUUCCUUCCCUCCCUAUCGCUAAAGUACAAGGUGAAGUUGUUGCUUCUUCUUCUUCUUCUUAUUCUCCAUUCUCUUAUUCACCAUAGCUACAAAGGUCAAGGUCGAAUCAGUGAAUUGGUAUAUUAUCACACAACCUCACUCCAAAAUGGUUGCUUCCCACCCUCAACAAGAUGAGGUAUUGCUGAAGGCUAGGCAAAGGUAUUGCUUACUAAUUUUCUAAGUUUUUUACAUUACAUGUUUAUAUCUUAUGAUGGGUUUGUGGAGAAGGAGGCAGAUGAGGAUGAUAAGGAGGAUGAUGAUGAGGAGGUUAAUGAUGAGGUGGAGGAAAAUGAGAAGGAUGAUGAGCAUGAUAAGGAGGAUGAGCUUAGUUAAUUAAAUAUUAGACUAAAUAAAUUAGUUAAUUAACAAUUUAGGAUGCAUUUCCCUUUUUAAUGUUACAUGAACAUAAGUGAUGAGGAGGAUGAUGAGGAGGUGGAGGAUGAGAAGGAUGACGAUGGGGAAAGUGAUGAGGAUGAUGAGGACGAGGAUGAUGAUGAUGAUGAUGAUGAGCUUAGUUAAUUAAAUAUUAGACUAAAUAUAUUAGUUAAUUAACAAUUCAGGAUGCAUUUCCCUUUUCUAAUGUUAAAUGAAUAUAAGUGAUGAGGAGGUGGAGAAGGAGGAUGACGAUAGGGAAGGUGAUAAGGAUGAUAAGGAUGAGGAUGAGGAUAAUGAGGAGAAUGAGAAUGAUGAGUAGAAGUAGGAAGGUGAAAAGGAUGAGAGAGAAAGAGAAAACAUGGGGAUUUAUGCGAUUGGUGGUCCAAAUGGUUAUCUAGCCUAGAGGCAAGAGUUUGAGUUUGGUUUGGGAUCUUGCAUGUUUAUGGGUACCCUGUGUAAGCUUAAUCUUGUUUGUGCAGGUCAAGCAAGAUCCACAAUAUGUUGAGGUCCUUGGUCUUCAUCAUUUGGAAGAUGCAUAGUUGAUGUUGUUGUUGAAAUGAUCAAUAGGGGUGCUUAUUUUGAGUUGUUGGUUCAAACCACAAGGACAUGGAGAAUUCCCUUCUCACUCUCUUGUGUCACAUGUCCGCCACUUUGUGCACCCUACGGAGAUAAAGCACUUUUACUAAUGAAGCAGAACAUAACACAAAAAGAUGUUAAGGUUAAAUCCUAUAUAUUUAAUUAGCAA
rnacentral:lncRNA from 1 species